UUCCCUGUGGCUCAGUGGGUAGAGCAUGGUGUUUGCAACGCCAGGGUUGUGGGUUAGAUUCCCAUGGGGGGGG
rnacentral:tRNA from 1 species